rnacentral:rRNA from 1 species
UACGAAGGGGCGAGCGUUGUUCGGAAUUAGUCUGGGCGUAAAGGGCGCGUAGGCGGCGACUCAAGUUAGAUCGUGAAAGUCCUGGGCUUAACCUGGGGACUGCAUUUGAUACUGGGUUGCUUGAAUUCGGGAGAGGAUAGCGGAAUUCCCAGUGUAGAGGUGAAAUUCGUAGAUAUUGGGAAGAACACCGGUGGCGAAGGCGGCUAUCUGGACCGUACACUGACGCUGAGGCGCGAAAGCGUGGGAGCA